rnacentral:rRNA from 1 species
UACGGAGGGCGCGAGCGUUGUUCGGAAUUAUUGGGCGUAAAGCGCACGUAGGCGGCCCGGUAAGUCUACCUGUGAAAGCCCGGGGCUCAACCCCGGGAGGCCAGGGGAUACUGCCAGGCUGGAGACAAGCAGAGGUGGGUAGAAUUCCGGGUGUAGCGGUGGAAUGCGUAGAGAUCCGGAGGAAUACCAGAGGCGAAGGCGGCCCACUGGGCUUGAUCUGACGCUGAGGUGCGAAAGCGUGGGGAGCGAACAGG